rnacentral:rRNA from 1 species
GAUGAACGCUGGCGGCGUGCCUAAUACAUGCAAGUCGAGCGAACAGAUGAGAAGCUUGCUUCUCUGAUGUUAGCGGCGGACGGGUGAGUAACACGUGGGUAACCUACCUAUAAGACUGGGAUAACUCCGGGAAACCGGGGCUAAUACCGGAUAAUAUUUUGAACCGCAUGGUUCAAUAGUGAAAGACGGUUUCGGCUGUCACUUAUAGAUGGACCCGCGCCGUGUUAGCGAGUUGGUAAGGUAACGGGUUACCAAGGCGACGAUACGUAGCCGACCUGAGGGGGUGAGCAGCCACAGUGGAACUGAGACACGGUCCAGACUCCUCCGGGGGGCAGCAGUAGGGAAUCUUCGGCAAUGGGCGAAAGCCUGACGGAGCAACGCCGCGUGAGUGAUGAAGGUCUUCGGAUCGUAAAACUCUGUUGUUAGGGAAGAACAAAUUUGUUAGUAACUGAACAAGUCUUGACGGUACCUAACCAGAAAGCCACGGCUAACUACGUGCCAGCCGCCGCAGUAA